GCCGGGUUAGCUCAGUUGGCAGAGCACCGCACUUGUAAUGCGGUUGUCGCGAGUUCGAUUCUCGCACCCGGCUCCA
rnacentral:tRNA from 1 species